UACGUAGGGGGCUAGCGUUGUCCGGAAUCAUUGGGCGUAAAGAGCGCGUAGGCGGCCAGAUAAGUCCGGUGUGAAAGUCACAGGCUCAACCUGUGAAUGCCGCUGGAAACUGUCUGGCUAGAGUCCGGAAGGGGCGAGUGGAAUUCCUGGUGUAGCGGUGAAAUGCGCAGAUAUCAGGAAGAACACCUAUGGCGAAGGCAGCUCUCUGGGACGGUACUGACGCUGAGACGCGAAAAGCGUGGGGGAGCGAACAGG
rnacentral:rRNA from 1 species